rnacentral:rRNA from 1 species
UGGAUCCAGACUUUGAUUAUGGCUCAGGAUGAACGCUAGCUACAGGCUUAACACAUGCAAGUCGAGGGGCAGCAUGACGAUAGCUUGCUAUUGUUGAUGGCGACCGGCGCACGGGUGGGUAACGCGUAUCCAACCUUCCCGUUGCUAGGGGAUAACCUUGCGAAAGUAAGACUAAUACCCUAUGAAGUUCUUCGCAGGCAUCUAAAGAGAACCAAAGAUUUAUCGGCAACGGAUGGGGAUGCGUCUGAUUAGGUUGUUGGCGGGGUAACGGCCCACCAAGCCUACGAUCAGUAGGGGUUCUGAGAGGAAGGUCCCCCACAUUGGAACUGAGACACGGUCCAAACUCCUACGGGAGGCAGCAGUGAGGAAUAUUGGUCAAUGGACGGAAGUCUGAACCAGCCAAGUAGCGUGCAGGAUGACGGCCCUAUGGGUUGUAAACUGCUUUUAUGUGGGAAUAAAGUGAGGGACGUGUCCCUUUUUGUAGGUACCACAUGAAUAAGGACCGGCUAAUUCCGUGCCAGCAGCCGCGGUAAUACGGAAGGUCCGGGCGUUAUCCGGAUUUAUUGGGUUUAAAGGGAGCGUAGGCCGUCUUUUAAGCGUGUUGUGAAAUACUGUCGCUCAACGACAGAGGUGCAGCGCGAACUGGGAGACUUGAGUGCGCGGAAUGCAGGCGGAAUUCGUCGUGUAGCGGUGAAAUGCUUAGAUAUGACGAAGAACUCCGAUUGCGAAGGCAGCUUGCAGUAGCGUAACUGACGCUGAAGCUCGAAAGUGCGGGUAUCGAACAGGAUUAGAUACCCUGGUAGUCCGCACGGUGAACGAUGGAUGCUCGCUGUGUGCCCUUGGGUACGCGGCCAAGCGAAAGCGUUAAGCAUCCCACCUGGGGAGUACGCCGGCAACGGUGCAACUCAAAUGAAUUGACGGA